UUUCUCCCCUUAAGUUCCUCUGACCUGAUUCUGGCAGGACGAUGGAUUCUGGGUCAUCACUUUUUUGGGAAUGCUCCAUGCUCACCAUGCCAGGUGCGGUCUGCGUCCCAGUCAGCUGGGAGUCACAUGUGGAGCUAUUCUGGGGUCUAGGGACCGUCGAUUCUUGCCAAGGUGAGGAGAACGGGGACAAAGCCUUACAAACAUCUUCAUGACUCAGCACUCAGCAGUACAUGUGCAAUGUGUCCUUUGUCUUGUCCUGCUUAAGGCCACACUUCUACAGUGGGCCGUGUGUGCAUGUCUGUCUGUGUGUGUCUCUGUGUGUAUCUGUGUGUCUGCGUUUGUGUGUAUUGGCGUGUAUCUGUGUGCGCAUCUGUAUGUGUGUAUCUAUGUGUGUGUGCAUGUGUAUGUGUGUGCACACAUGUGUGUGUGUAUCUGUGUGUGUGUGCAUAUGUAUGUGUGUGCACACACGUGUGUGUGUGUGUGUUUGUAUGUCUGUGACUGUGUGUCUGUGUAAGUGUAUAUAUAUGUUUGUGUGUCUGUGUGUGUGUGUCCCUAUGUAGGAACACCUGAGGACAUAAAACACCCUGGCUUGCAGUUUUCUCUGUUCUUUCACCCCCAUCUGCAAAUUUCUCAGAUGGUUCUCUCUGCAAGCCAUCGUUUUGUUACAUCUAGUCACCAUGUCUGUAUGUCUGUUUCUAUUUGUCUUGCAGUAAAACUAUUUGAGAACAUAGUGCAUUUGGGUAACCACCGAGACUCUCUGCUGGCCUUGCCCUCCAUCAAUCCUGCUGCAGCCUUGCUACUGCUGGUGUCUAGGGUCACCCACACAGGAGGGCAUCAUUCACGGUGU
rnacentral:lncRNA from 1 species